rnacentral:misc_RNA from 1 species
AACGCACCUUGCACCCUUUGGUAUUCCGAAGGGUAUGCCUGUUUGAGUGUCAUUAAAUUCUCAAAUCAAACAAUUUUGGUUGUUUUGAUUUGGACUUGAGGGUUAUUGCUGUUCAUUCAGCUCCCUUGAAAUAUAUAUGUGGCAUUUGAUCCCCUUUUGUCCUUUGACAUGGUAAACUUAUCGAGUCAAUUUGUGUACAAUUGGUGUUGGAUUGUGCUGCUAUCAAACUGUCUUUAUUGACAAUUUUAUGAACUAUUUGACCUCAAAUCAGGUAGGACUACCCGCUGAACUUAA